GGGGAAUAUUGCACAAUGGGGGAAACCCUGAUGCAGCAACGCCGCGUGAGGGAAGAAGGUUUUCGGAUUGUAAACCUCUGUCCCUGGUGACGAAGACAGUGACGGUAACCAGGGAGGAAGCCACGGCUAACUACGUGCCAGCAGCCGCGGUAAUACGUAGGUGGCAAGCGUUGUCCGGAUUUACUGGGUAUAAAGGGAGCGCAGGCGGGAGAGCAAGUCAGCGGUGAAAUACAUGGGCUUAACCCAUGAACUGCCGUUGAAACUGUUUUUCUUGAGUGAAGUAGAGGCAGGCGGAAUUCCGAGUGUAGCGGUGAAAUGCGUAGAUAUUCGGAGGAACACCAGUGGCGAAGGCGGCCUGCUGGGCUUUUACUGACGCUGAGGCUCGAAAGCGUGGGGAGCAAACAGGAUUAGAUACCCUGGUAGUCCACGCUGUAAACGAUGAUUGCUAGGUGUGGGGGGUCUGACCCCUUCCGUGCCGGAGUUAACACAAUAAGCAAUCCACCUGGGGAGUACGACCGCAAGGUUGAAACUCAAAGGAAUUGACGGGGGCCCGCACAAGCAGUGGAGUAUGUGGUUUAAUUCGAAGCAACGCGAAGAACCUUACCAGGUCUUGACAUCCGACUAACGAAGUAGAGAUACAUUAGGUGCCCUUCGGGGAAAGUCGAGACAGGUGGUGCAUGGUUGUCGUCAGCUCGUGUCGUGAGAUGUUGGGUUAAGUCCCGCAACGAGCGCAACCCUUACCGUUAGUUGCUACGCAAGAGCACUCUAAUGGGACCGCCAUCGACAAGAUGGAGGAAGGUGGGGACGACGUCAAAUCAUCAUGCCCCUUAUGACCUGGGCUACACACGUACUACAAUGGCCGUUAACAGAGGGAAGCAAUACCGCGAGGAGGAGCAAACCCCUAAAAACGGUCUCAGUUCAGAUUGCAGGCUGCAACCCGCCUGCAUGAAGUCGGAAUUGCUAGUAAUCGCGGAUCAGCAUGCCGCGGUGAAUACGUUCCCG
rnacentral:rRNA from 1 species